rnacentral:rRNA from 1 species
GACGAACGCUGGCGGCGUGCUUAACACAUGCAAGUCGAACGGAAAGGCCCUGCUUUUGUAGGGUGCUCGAGUGGCGAACGGGUGAGUAACACGCGAGUAACCCGUCCUUGACUUUGGGAUAACUUCAGGAAACUGGGGCUAAUACAGGAUAGGAGCUCCUGCUGCACGGUGGGGGUUGGAAAGUUUCGGCGGUUGGGGAUGGACUCGCGGCUUAUCAGCUUGUUGGUGGGGUAGUGGCUUACCAAGGCUUUGACGGGUAGCCGGCCUGAGAGGGUGACCGGCCACAUUGGGACUGAGAUACGGCCCAGACUCCUACGGGAGGCAGCAGUGGGGAAUAUUGCACAAUGGGCGGAAGCCUGAUGCAGCAACGCCGCGUGCGGGAUGACGGCCUUCGGGUUGUAAACCGCUUUCGCCUGUGACGAAGCGUGAGUGACGGUAAUGGGUAAAGAAGCACCGGCUAACUACGUG